rnacentral:tRNA from 3 species
GAGCCAUUAGCUCAGCCGGUAGAGCAUCUGACUUUUAAUCAGAGGGUCGGAGGUUCGAAUCCUCCAUGGCUCACCA